CUCAACCAUAAACGAUGCCGACC
rnacentral:siRNA from 1 species